UACAGAGGUGACUAACGUUGUCCGGAAUUAUUGGGCGUAAAGGGCGCGUAGGUGGUCGAGUAAGUCAGGUGUGAAAGCUCUGGGCUUAACCCAGGAAUUGCGUCUGAUACUGCUCGGCUUGAGUACGGUAGAGGAGGGUGGAAUUCCCAGUGUAGCGGUGAAAUGCGUAGAUAUUGGGAGGAACACCGGUGGCGAAGGCGGCCCUCUGGACCAUAACUGACGCUGAGAUACGAAAGCGUGGGUAGCAAACAGG
rnacentral:rRNA from 1 species